GAUCAACGCUGGCGGCGUGCUUAACACAUGCAAGUCGAACGAAGUUUUUCCUUCGGGAGAAACUUAGUGGCGGACGGGUGAGUAACGCGUGGGUAACCUGCCCUGUACAGGGGGACAACAGCUGUAAACGGCUGCUAAUACCGCAUAAGCCCUUAGCACUGCAUGGUGCAUAGGGAAAAGGAGCAAUCCGGUACAGGAUGGACCCGCGUCUGAUUAGCCAGUUGGCAGGGUAACGGCCUACCAAAGCGACGAUCAGUAGCCGAUCUGAGAGGAUGUACGGCCACAUUGGGACUGAGACACGGCCCAGACUCCUACGGGAGGCGGCAGUGGGGAAUAUUGCACAAUGGAGGAAACUCUGAUGCAGCGACGCCGCGUGAGUGAAGAAGUAUUUCGGUAUGUAAAGCUCUAUCAGCAGGGAAGAAAAUGACGGUACCUGACUAAGAAGCACCGGCUAAAUACGUG
rnacentral:rRNA from 1 species